AUGAACGCUAGCUACAGGCUUAACACAUGCAAGUCGAGGGGCAGCAUGGUCUUAGCUUGCUAAGACUGAUGGCGACCGGCGCACGGGUGAGUAACACGUAUCCAACCUGCCGUCUACUCUUGGACAGCCUUCUGAAAGGAAGAUUAAUACAAGAUGGCAUCAUGAGUCCGCAUGUUCACAUGAUUAAAGGUAUUCCGGUAGACGAUGGGGAUGCGUUCCAUUAGAUAGUAGGCGGGGUAACGGCCCACCUAGUCUUCGAUGGAUAGGGGUUCUGAGAGGAAGGUCCCCCACAUUGGAACUGAGACACGGUCCAAACUCCUACGGGAGGCAGCAGUGAGGAAUAUUGGUCAAUGGGCGAGAGCCUGAACCAGCCAAGUAGCGUGAAGGAUGACUGCCCUAUGGGUUGUAAACUUCUUUUAUAAAGGAAUAAAGUCGGGUAUGGAUACCCGUUUGCAUGUACUUUAUGAAUAAGGAUCGGCUAACUCCGUGCCAGCAGCCGCGGUAAUACGGAGGAUCCGAGCGUUAUCCGGAUUUAUUGGGUUUAAAGGGAGCGUAGAUGGAUGUUUAAGUCAGUUGUGAAAGUUUGCGGCUCAACCGUAAAAUUGCAGUUGAUACUGGAUAUCUUGAGUGCAGUUGAGGCAGGCGGAAUUCGUGGUGUAGCGGUGAAAUGCUUAGAUAUCACGAAGAACUCCGAUUGCGAAGGCAGCCUGCUAAGCUGCAACUGACAUUGAGGCUCGAAAGUGUGGGUAUCAAACAGGAUUAGAUACCCUGGUAGUCCACACGGUAAACGAUGAAUACUCGCUGUUUGCGAUAUACUGCAAGCGGCCAAGCGAAAGCGUUAAGUAUUCCACCUGGGGAGUACGCCGGCAACGGUGAAACUCAAAGGAAUUGACGGGGACCCGCACAAGCGGUGGAGCAUGUGGUUUAAUUCGAAGCAACGCGAAGAACCUUACCUGAUCUUGACAUCCCGAUGACCGCUUCGUAAUGGAAGCUUUUCUUCGGAACAUCGGUGACAGGUGGUGCAUGGUUGUCGUCAGCUCGUGCCGUGAGGUGUCGGCUUAAGUGCCAUAACGAGCGCAACCCUUGUUGUCAGUUACUAACAGGUUCCGCUGAGGACUCUGACAAGACUGCCAUCGUAAGAUGUGAGGAAGGUGGGGAUGACGUCAAAUCAGCACGGCCCUUACGUCCGGGGCUACACACGUGUUACAAUGGGGGGUACAGAGGGCCGCUACCACGCGAGUGGAUGCCAAUCCCCAAAACCUCUCUCAGUUCGGACUGGAGUCUGCAACCCGACUCCACGAAGCUGGAUUCGCUAGUAAUCGCGCAUCAGCCACGGCGCGGUGAAUACGUUCCCGGGCCUUGUACACACCGCCCGUCAAGCCAUGGGAGCCGGGGGUACCUGAAGUGCGUAACCGCGAGGAGCGCCCUAGGGUAAAACUGGUGACUGGGGCU
rnacentral:rRNA from 1 species